GGUUAAAUUAGUUCAUUCAGUAAAUUCGAGAAUCUACCGAACGCCAGAGCAGAAAUACAUAAAUAGACCUUUCUGCAUAGGAAUAUAAAGUUUUUUAAUGCCGGUCCAUAGUCAAAAGGCAGCAGGCAGGCACGCAACCAGGCUUCUCCAAUGCACAGUGGUGAGAUUGGUCUCGUCACAGAAAUAGAACCUCUUCCUCUGUAAACUCACAUGUAACAAAUGACUCAUUUGUCCU